rnacentral:misc_RNA from 1 species
GAACUGCGAUAAGUAAUGUGAAUUGCAGAAUUCAGUGAAUCAUCGAGUCUUUGAACGCACAUUGCGCCCCCUGGCAUUCCGGGGGGCAUGCCUGUCCGAGCGUCAUUGCUGCCCUUCAAACCCGGCUUGUGUGUUGGGUCGUCGUCCCCUCCGGGGGACGGGCCCGAAAGGCAGCGGCGGCACCGCGUCCGGUCCUCGAGCGUAUGGGGCUUUGUCACCCGCUCGAUAAGGACCGGCCGGGCGCCAGCCGGCGUCUCCAACCUUUUUUUCUCAGGUUGACCUCGGAUCAGGUAGGGAUACCCGCUGAACUUAAGC